UACGUAGGGUGCGAGCGUUGUCCGGAAUUAUUGGGCGUAAAGAGCUCGUAGGCGGUGUGUCACGUCGGCCGUGAAAACCUGCAGCUUAACUGUGGGCGUGCGGUCGAUACGGGCAGACUUGAGUUCGGCAGGGGAGACUGGAAUUCCUGGUGUAGCGGUGAAAUGCGCAGAUAUCAGGAGGAACACCGGUGGCGAAGGCGGUUCUCUGGGCAUUACCUGACGCUGAGGAGCGAAAGUGUGGGGAGCGAACAGG
rnacentral:rRNA from 1 species